UACGUAGGGGGCCAGCGUUGUCCGGAUUCAUUGGGCGUAAAGCGCGUGUAGGCGGCCAGGUAGGUCCGAUGUGAAAUCUGGAGGCUCAACCUCCGGCUGUCAUUGGAAACCAUCUGGCUAGAGUCCGGAAGAGGAGAGUGGAAUUCCUGGUGUAGCGGUGAAAUGCGCAGAUAUCAGGAAGAACACCGAUGGCGAAGGCAGCUCUCUGGGACGGUACUGACGCUGAGACGCGAAAGCGUGGGGAGCGAACAGG
rnacentral:rRNA from 1 species